rnacentral:rRNA from 1 species
GGUUAAGCGACUAAGCGUACACGGUGGAUGCCCUGGCAGUCAGAGGCGAUGAAGGACGUGCUAAUCUGCGAUAAGCGUCGGUAAGGUGAUAUGAACCGUUAUAACCGGCGAUUUCCGAAUGGGGAAACCCAGUGUGAUUCGUCACACUAUCAUUAACUGAAUCCAUAGGUUAAUGAGGCGAACCGGGGGAACUGAAACAUCUAAGUACCCCGAGGAAAAGAAAUCAACCGAGAUUCCCCCAGUAGCGGCGAGCGAACGGGGAGCAGCCCAGAGCCUGAAUCAGUGUGUGUGUUAGUGGAAGCGUCUGGAAAGGCGCGCGAUACAGGGUGACAGCCCCGUACACAAAAAUGCACAUGCUGUGAGCUCGAUGAGUAGGGCGGGACACGUGGUAUCCUGUCUGAAUAUGGGGGGACCAUCCUCCAAGGCUAAAUACUCCUGACUGACCGAUAGUGAACCAGUACCGUGAGGGAAAGGCGAAAAGAACCCCGGCGAGGGGAGUGAAAAAGAACCUGAAACCGUGUACGUACAAGCAGUGGGAGCACGCUUAGGCGUGUGACUGCGUACCUUUUGUAUAAUGGGUCAGCGACUUAUAUUCUGUAGCAAGGUUAACCGAAUAGGGGAGCCGAAGGGAAACCGAGUCUUAACUGGGCGUUAAGUUGCAGGGUAUAGACCCGAAACCCGGUGAUCUAGCCAUGGGCAGGUUGAAGGUUGGGUAACACUAACUGGAGGACCGAACCGACUAAUGUUGAAAAAUUAGCGGAUGACUUGUGGCUGGGGGUGAAAGGCCAAUCAAACCGGGAGAUAGCUGGUUCUCCCCGAAAGCUAUUUAGGUAGCGCCUCGUGAAUUCAUCUCCGGGGGUAGAGCACUGUUUCGGCAAGGGGGUCAUCCCGACUUACCAACCCGAUGCAAACUGCGAAUACCGGAGAAUGUUAUCACGGGAGACACACGGCGGGUGCUAACGUCCGUCGUGAAGAGGGAAACAACCCAGACCGCCAGCUAAGGUCCCAAAGUCAUGGUUAAGUGGGAAACGAUGUGGGAAGGCCCAGACAGCCAGGAUGUUGGCUUAGAAGCAGCCAUCAUUUAAAGAAAGCGUAAUAGCUCACUGGUCGAGUCGGCCUGCGCGGAAGAUGUAACGGGGCUAAACCAUGCACCGAAGCUGCGGCAGCGACACUAUGUGUUGUUGGGUAGGGGAGCGUUCUGUAAGCCUGUGAAGGUGUGCUGUGAGGCAUGCUGGAGGUAUCAGAAGUGCGAAUGCUGACAUAAGUAACGAUAAAGCGGGUGAAAAGCCCGCUCGCCGGAAGACCAAGGGUUCCUGUCCAACGUUAAUCGGGGCAGGGUGAGUCGACCCCUAAGGCGAGGCCGAAAGGCGUAGUCGAUGGGAAACAGGUUAAUAUUCCUGUACUUGGUGUUACUGCGAAGGGGGGACGGAGAAGGCUAUGUUGGCCGGGCGACGGUUGUCCCGGUUUAAGCGUGUAGGCUGGUUUUCCAGGCAAAUCCGGAAAAUCAAGGCUGAGGCGUGAUGACGAGGCACUACGGUGCUGAAGCAACAAAUGCCCUGCUUCCAGGAAAAGCCUCUAAGCAUCAGGUAACAUCAAAUCGUACCCCAAACCGACACAGGUGGUCAGGUAGAGAAUACCAAGGCGCUUGAGAGAACUCGGGUGAAGGAACUAGGCAAAAUGGUGCCGUAACUUCGGGAGAAGGCACGCUGAUAUGUAGGUGAAGUCCCUCGCGGAUGGAGCUGAAAUCAGUCGAAGAUACCAGCUGGCUGCAACUGUUUAUUAAAAACACAGCACUGUGCAAACACGAAAGUGGACGUAUACGGUGUGACGCCUGCCCGGUGCCGGAAGGUUAAUUGAUGGGGUCAGCGCAAGCGAAGCUCUUGAUCGAAGCCCCGGUAAACGGCGGCCGUAACUAUAACGGUCCUAAGGUAGCGAAAUUCCUUGUCGGGUAAGUUCCGACCUGCACGAAUGGCGUAAUGAUGGCCAGGCUGUCUCCACCCGAGACUCAGUGAAAUUGAACUCGCUGUGAAGAUGCAGUGUACCCGCGGCAAGACGGAAAGACCCCGUGAACCUUUACUAUAGCUUGACACUGAACAUUGAGCCUUGAUGUGUAGGAUAGGUGGGAGGCUUUGAAGUGUGGACGCCAGUCUGCAUGGAGCCGACCUUGAAAUACCACCCUUUAAUGUUUGAUGUUCUAACGUUGACCCGUGAUCCGGGUUGCGGACAGUGUCUGGUGGGUAGUUUGACUGGGGCGGUCUCCUCCUAAAGAGUAACGGAGGAGCACGAAGGUUGGCUAAUCCUGGUCGGACAUCAGGAGGUUAGUGCAAUGGCAUAAGCCAGCUUGACUGCGAGCGUGACGGCGCGAGCAGGUGCGAAAGCAGGUCAUAGUGAUCCGGUGGUUCUGAAUGGAAGGGCCAUCGCUCAACGGAUAAAAGGUACUCCGGGGAUAACAGGCUGAUACCGCCCAAGAGUUCAUAUCGACGGCGGUGUUUGGCACCUCGAUGUCGGCUCAUCACAUCCUGGGGCUGAAGUAGGUCCCAAGGGUAUGGCUGUUCGCCAUUUAAAGUGGUACGCGAGCUGGGUUUAGAACGUCGUGAGACAGUUCGGUCCCUAUCUGCCGUGGGCGCUGGAGAACUGAGGGGGGCUGCUCCUAGUACGAGAGGACCGGAGUGGACGCAUCACUGGUGUUCGGGUUGUCAUGCCAAUGGCACUGCCCGGUAGCUAAAUGCGGAAGAGAUAAGUGCUGAAAGCAUCUAAGCACGAAACUUGCCCCGAGAUGAGUUCUCCCUGACUCCUUGAGAGUCCUGAAGGAACGUUGAAGACGACGACGUUGAUAGGCCGGGUGUGUAAGCGCAGCGAUGCGUUGAGCUAACCGGUACUAAUGAACCGUGAGGCUUAACCUU